UGCAGUCGAACGGCAGCACGGAGCUUGCUCUGGUGGCGAGUGGCGAACGGGUGAGUAAUGCGUCGGAACGUAUCCAUAAUGGGGGAUAACGCAGCGAAAGCUGUGCUAAUACCGCAUACGCCCUCCGGGGGAAAGCAGGGGAUCUUAGGACCUUGCGUUAAUGGAGCGGCCGACGUCUGAUUAGCUAGUUGGUAGGGUAAAGGCCUACCAAGGCGACGAUCAGUAGCUGGUCUGAGAGGAUGAUCAGCCACACUGGGACUGAGACACGGCCCAGACUCCUACGGGAGGCAGCAGUGGGGAAUUUUGGACAAUGGGCGCAAGCCUGAUCCAGCCAUUCCGCGUGAGUGAAGAAGGCCUUCGGGUUGUAAAGCUCUUUCAGGAGGGAAGAAACAAUUGUGGCUAAUACCCAUGAUUAAUGACGGUACCUUCAGAAGAAGCACCGGCUAACUACGUGCCAGCAGCCGCGGUAAUACGUAGGGUGCGAGCGUUAAUCGGAAUUACUGGGCGUAAAGCGUGCGCAGGCGGUUUUUCAAGUCUGAUGUGAAAUCCCCGGGCUUAACCCGGGAACUGCGUUGGAAACUGAAAGACUAGAGUGCGGCAGAGGGGGGUAGAAUUCCACGUGUAGCAGUGAAAUGCGUAGAUAUGUGGAGGAAUACCGAUGGCGAAGGCAGCCCCCUGGGUCGACACUGACGCUCAUGCACGAAAGCGUGNGUAGCAAACAGGAUUAGAUACCCUGGUAGUCCACGCCCUAAACGAUGUCAACUAGUUGUUGGGGAGGGAGACCUCCUUAGUAACGCAGCUAACGCGUGAAGUUGACCGCCUGGGGAGUACGGUCGCAAGAUUAAAACUCAANGNAAUUGACGGGGGCCCGCACNAGCGGNGGAUUA
rnacentral:rRNA from 1 species